rnacentral:rRNA from 1 species
UACAGAGGGUGCAAGCGUUAAUCGGAAUUACUGGGCGUAAAGCGUGCGUAGACGGUUGCGUAAGUCAGAUGUGAAAGCCCCGGGCUCAACCUGGGAAUUGCAUUUGAGACUGCGUAGCUAGGGUGCGGAAGAGGGAAGCGGAAUUUCCGGUGUAGCGGUGAAAUGCGUAGAUAUCGGGAGGAACACCAGUGGCGAAGGCGGCGACCUGGGCCAAUAUUGACGCUGAGGUGCGAAAGCGUGGGGAGCCAAACAGG